CUCACAGCCGCUCAACCAACGGCCUCGUCUCCCACCAUUGCUGCCUCUCCCUCUCACACCUCGCCGGCACCUCUCCCUCCAUCGCGUCGCUGGCGCCUCUCCCUCUCGUGAUGCCGUUGCCUCUCCGUUGGCCCCGUCGCUAUCGCCCCUGAUGUGUUGCGGUGCCAUGAACUGGCCUCACAGGCAUGGCCAAGGUGACGACAGCUCCUCGAUGCCGCCGCCCUCUACAAGGAGCGACGACAUCUCCAAGCUCUGCGGCACGGCAUGCACCGAGCGACGCGCCGUGGGGCACCGCCACCUCAACCACUAGCAUGGCCGACCACCCAUCCACGUGCCCACCGCUGCCGUCGGCUGGCCACAUGACAUCGCUCUCGUCCAGCUCGAAGCACGCGCCAUCGUCGCUCGCCUUCGACUCCUCCAGCAGGUCAAGAAACCGGAACACCCCCCGCGCUUGGCUACCUUGGCAUCUCCAUUGACCGUCUCAGCAAGCGCUACCUCGCCCAGCUCUUGCAUAGACGAUGCAAGCCAAGAAACAGUGAGUGCUGGCAGUAGUACUCUGAAUCCAUCAAUGCAACUGAAUCUAAACAUGUGAAUCAAGCUAUGGCAGGAGUAAGAGAAAAGGAACAAACAUAAAUAAGCUACUUCAAUAUUAUGGUACAUAGGGAGUAAGUUUGAGCUAAGUUUUCUCAUGCAUUUCCUAGUAAGUAUAAAAAAAGAUUUAUUUGUAUGAUCCAUGUUUAAUGAAUAUAUAUCCUUUUUACUUUAAUAUAUAUGUUUUUUGUACAGCAAACGUUGCCGAUCCAAGGUCCCAAGAAGCCCAAGCCCACUCUCGCAUUCAGUCAUUGCCCUCAUGGGCCAACCAGCACCCACUAACUCCACGUGAUUCUGCUCGGCCAUGUCACUCAACAUGAACAUCUCCUCGAGUAAGUAGCAACACCCCCAUGGUCGUCUAAAUUUUCAUAUUAUUUUUGUGUGUGUGAUGAUGUUGCCUUCUCUUUUCCAUUGCUGAUGAGCUACCCAAGAAUUGAUUUGAUCUCCAUGCACGACUCUGUAGCACCGACUACCAUCCACCACGGGUACGGAUCAUGUGAUGUGGGGUGUAGACAUGCUGAUUGGAGAAGCCAAUUUUGCCAUGGUCAUUGUCGGUGUCAAAACCGGCAGAUCUCGGGUAGGGGUCCCGAACUGUGUAUCUGAGGAUCGAUAGUAACAAGGGAUGAUUGGGACACGAUGUUUACCCAGGUUCGGGCCCUCUUAAAGGAGUUAAAACCCUAUGUCCUGCUUGAUUGUAUUCAGUGAGUAU